UGGCUCAGAACGAACGUUGGCGGCGUGGAUUAGGCAUGCAAGUCGAACGAAUCCCACUGGUGUAGCAAUACAGUUGGUGGGGGAAGUGGCGAAAGGGGCAGUAAUGCGUGGGUAAUCUACCCUGGGGACCGGGAUAGCUCUUCUAACGAGGAGGUAAUACCGGGCAAUGUGAUUGGGAGGCAUCUUCUGGUCACCAGAUGAAUUUCGCCCUGGGAGGAGCUCACGUCGUAUUAGCUAGUUGGUGAGGUAACGGCUCACCAAGGCAAAGAUGCGUAGCGGGUGUGAGAGCACGACCCGCGCCACUGGCACUGAGACACUGGCCAGACACCUACGGGUGGCUGCAGUCGAGGAUCUUUGGCAAUGGGCGCAAGCCUGACCAAGCGACGCCGCGUGUGCGAUGAAGGCCUUCGGGUUGUAAAGCACUGUCGAGGGGGAUCAAGGCGCAAGCUUGAGAGAUCCCUGGAGGAAGCACGGGCUAAGUUCGUGCCAGCAGCAGC
rnacentral:rRNA from 1 species